AAUGGCACAGCUAGUGACCGGGUGAGACCCGCUUCGGAUGUUCAGUCCAUCAGGCGUUAUUAGCACAAAUCAGUCCCAUAGAUAUGGGCCAUCUCCACCUGCUAGAUUGUUCAGAAGGUUGUUAUCAUCCAUCCAGAUGGAGGAUCACUAACAGGAGCGUGGGAAGACUCCAGAAUCCACUCUGGGUGGAAUCCGGUGGAUACAGCAGUGUUACAGAACAGUUCUUCACAGUCGCUGUCCACAUGGGUCAGUGGGACCAAGCAGCACUCUGCUAAUGUGUGGACUCUGAUCAGCAACAUCCAGCAAGACCCAGGCAGUGUUUUCUAUCUCCCUGCUGGAGUUUUUUGUUUGUGACGGGAGAGUCAGAUUUUUGUUGAAGCUGGAGGAACAGCCUCACACUUGCAGAGGUUAAUGCAUGCUACUGAUCCCUGAUGGGAGAAUCAUCACCUCUGCCAACAAAAAAGCCUGGUGGAUAUUUGUUUGCAGUCUGAUGAUGGGACAUCAUGCUCUGCAUCUUCAAAUCUUUUUGCAGGAUCAGAAAACAAAACCAGGAGAUCUGUAAAUGUUUCUUCUCCAAUUGGAUGAUGAUAAGACUGUGACACGGGAUGCCACCUUUAGUCUUGUGAUGAAGCAAAGCUCAGGAAGAAGUGUGAUUAAAUGGUACCCACAUGUGUGCUGCUGAGAAGGAUGUACAGGGGCACCUGCAGCCAAAUAAAAGCUUCCUCAGAGCAGAGCGGCCGUUUGUGCUCACAGAUGGUGACGGUGUGGAGAGACGGUGGUGUUUCCUCAGAAGAACUAGCAGAGUCACAAAGGGCACCAGUCCAUCUCACCACCUUGACUUGCUGACUGUUGCUCGUCUGAACUGCACAGAGGAAAUCAACUGACCGAGGAGUGUUUCUGAGUGAGGGAGAGAGGAGUCAUCAUCCAGGUAAAGUGACGUGGAUCAGUGGAUACACUUGUCUCCCCUUUAAAGGAGAUUCUCUUAGAGAGAGACGAUCCGAGUCAUCCUUAAAUAUGGGAAGGAUAUCAGUCUUGGACUGUCUAACCUGCUGGAGCAGCACUGAAUAACCACCACACAUGAGCAUGUUCCUGCAACAUUCAGCAUCUGAUCUGCCAUCUGUGUGCUUCUGCUUUUGUGUCAAAUGUUAAACAGCUGGAGAGGAAACUACACCAGUGUACUACUGGGAUGUUUCAGCAACACGUGCCAGAUGCAUGGUGACAUCACCAGAGACAGCCCUGCCCACCUCAGGACCUCGCCAUUGAUCAUGAUGAUUAUAAUAAUGACAGCGAGCGGAACUAAGACUGUAAAAAUCCACGACCAGAAUGUUUAGAUGCUUUCUAUUUAUUAAUGAAUACUGAGAGCCUCUUUCUGUGUUUUGUCUGUUUUGUUUUUUUACCUCAUUUGUUACUAACAAAGUUCACCAAACUCACACAGUUUACAUUCUGUAUGUUUCCAUCUUUACCAGCCACACUCUGCCUGCAUUUAAGAAAACAAACCUUAGAAAUCGUCGUUUUUCUCUUUUGUAAUUGAUGAUAAUUCAGUGAAUAUACUGCGCUGCUUCCUUUUAUUGCGUCACACAUUGCUUUAAGUUUUUCAGUGUCCAGUUAUUUUUUUACUGCUGUUUGAAUUCUCUGUAUGUUUGACCCUGUAGACUGUUUAAUGGACUGCUUGUCUUCCUGUUUGUAACCGCUGCCUGUUUUUGACUAAAGAUUUGGAUUUCUGA